UGCCGGCCUCUCCUUCUCUUCCUCUCCCGAGCGUCGGCCGCCGGCAAAUAUCCCGUGCCCUAGCGACCCGCGGCUCCCACACCCUCUCGAGACAUCGUCGGCCACUGGAAUCCAGCGCCGCUGCUGUGCCCUAAGUCCUCGUACUCCACUGCCACCACCGAUUGAUCGGCACAGCUCAAAGCCGCCGGCCACAGGAACCCUAAUGUCAACUCCUCCCUCUCUUCUUCUGGUCGCAGGCAUUUGGAGAUUGCCGAGCACUUGAGCAUCCCAGCCGUGCCCUAGCUCCGAGUCUAACUCAGCCAUCGAUCGCCUCUUCUGGCUCAAGAAGAUCCCUACCACAGUGUACAGGCUUUCUUGAGAUGAAUUGGUUGUUGGAUGGAUUCAUCACUGCUGGAGAAGGUGCCAAGUGUUGUGCCAGUGAGGUGUUGUUAGCCAUUGCAGCUCUAGCUAUGCUGUUCGUGGACGAUCCAUGGCUUCGGCCAACCUUCCGAUCUAAAGUCAUCCUUUGAUGGUGAGCUAUCAACAACCCAUUUGAAUUCGGGUAAGUUUUUAGGUUGAUUCAUGAUGCUUAGUAUUGGAUGGUAGUGAACUUGAUUGGAUAAGUGGAUCAUUAGUUU